AGUCGANCGGUAACAGGGUGCUUGCACCGCUGACGAGUGGCGAACGGGUGAGUAAUGCAUCGGAACGUACCCAGUCGUGGGGGAUAACGUAGCGAAAGUUACGCUAAUACCGCAUACGUCCUGAGGGAGAAAGCGGGGGCUCGCAAGACCUCGCGCGAUUGGAGCGGCCGAUGUCGGAUUAGCUAGUUGGUAGGGUAAAGGCCUACCAAGGCGACGAUCCGUAGCGGGUCUGAGAGGAUGAUCCGCCACACUGGAACUGAGACACGGUCCAGACUCCUACGGGAGGCAGCAGUGGGGAAUUUCGGACAAUGGGCGAAAGCCUGAUCCAGCCAUGCCGCGUGAGUGAAGAAGGCCUUCGGGUUGUAAAGCUCUUUCAGCCGGAAAGAAAUCGCGCAGGAUAAUACUCUGCGUGGAUGACGGUACCGGAAGAAGAAGCACCGGCUAACUACGUGCCAGCAGCCGCGGUAAUACGUAGGGUGCGAGCGUUAAUCGGAAUUACUGGGCGUAAAGCGUGCGCAGGCGGUUAUGUAAGACAGAUGUGAAAUCCCCGGGCUCAACCUGGGAACUGCGUUUGUGACUGCAUAACUAGAGUACGGCAGAGGGAGGUGGAAUUCCGCGUGUAGCAGUGAAAUGCGUAGAGAUGCGGAGGAACACCGAUGGCGAAGGCAGCCUCCUGGGCCAGUACUGACGCUCAUGCACGAAAGCGUGGGGAGCAAACAGGAUUAGAUACCCUGGUAGUCCACGCCCUAAACGAUGUCAACUAGUUGUUCGGUGAGGAGACUCAUUGAGUAACGCAGCUAACGCGUGAAGUUGACCGCCUGGGGAGUACGGCCGCAAGGUUAAAACUCAAAGGAAUUGACGGGGACCCGCACAAGCGGUGGAUGAUGUGGAUUAAUUCGAUGCAACGCGAAAAACCUUACCUACCCUUGACAUGCCAGGAA
rnacentral:rRNA from 1 species